rnacentral:misc_RNA from 2 species
GAACGCACAUUGCGCCCGCUAGUAUUCUGGCGGGCAUGCCUGUUCGAGCGUCAUUUCAACCAUCAAGCCCUAGGCUUGUGUUGGGGCCCUGCGGCCGUCCGCAGCCCCCUAAAAACAGUGGCGGGCUCGCUAUAUACCGAGUGCAGUAGUUUACUCUUCGCUCAGGACAUGUAGUGGGUUCUUGCCGUAAAACCCCCCAUUUUUUAAGGUUGACCUCGGAUCAGGUAGGAAUACCCGCUGAACUUA